CCGAGCUCUAUGGCUGGGGCGGUCCAUAUAUGUCGUUGGGAACUUUUAUCAGUCUCGUUAAUUGAACCAUUUUAAUUGUGAAACUUAUCUUGGAUCUAAUUACAUUGAAGCCGAAUAAUUAAAAUUGUUGAAUGAUAUAUAUAUAUCUACCAAAAAGUUAAAAAUUAGGAUAGAAAGUGCAUUUUAAUCGUUGAUAUAAUUUAAUUUCCACCGGGAAUGAUUUGCAUUUGAUGAUACUCAAUAUGUUUUGUAACACCUACACUUACUACAUAUACGAGCUAACAAUGGACGAUGCUAUAAAAAUAAUCUGCUUUGUACUAAGGAACAUUAAUGAAGCUUAAUACAAAAGAGGGAAUUUUAAAAGCCCCUGGCGGCCAUCAUACGGGCAUACACGCCAAGUGCAAGUUUAUUUGGCAACAUCUUGCAAAAGAAACUAUAUUCACGGCAAAGGACUACGCGCUCAAAACAGGUUGACUUUACAUGUGUAUGAAUAGCUAUAGUGAACUUAAGUAUUAUUGCUACAGACUAUAAAUACUUCAAAUUUUAAUGCUUAAUACGUAUACAUAAAGUCUUUGAAUUAAAAAGUUAACUUUUUUGGAAAAUGUUUAUGUCAAAGUUCAAUCUUUAUAUCAGUCCCAAUUUGGAGUAAUUUCCAUUUUAAGACAUUAUGCUAAAAUCUAAUCCAAUUUUAAUGCAAACUAUACACUUUCAUACAAGAAAA